rnacentral:misc_RNA from 1 species
UGGCAAAAUGGAAGGCUGUAGUAGUUAUAGGUUUCUUGUGGAUUAUUAUAAGGGCCAGCCUUAUUUACCCAAAGGGUAACUGGGUCAUCCGGUUGGUACUUGUGAUCCGCCUCAGAGGCAAGAGCAGUAGAGAGAAGGAGGAGAGAAAUGAAUGCGAAUAGAGGGAAGAUGGGGGAUNNNNNNNNNAGGAGGAGGCGGACAUGGCGAUCGCCGUCGACAGCGGGAUCUGAGGGUCUAGAUUGGGGUCAAUCUGAGGUCUCGCUUGGAGCUGUUGGCGUAUUUAUGAGUUCGUCGCUAAGCUGCGAUUUGCCCUUUCUCUUUAAUCAGAUAGAGAGAGAGCGCAACGAGCUCGUGCUUAGAUUUGCGACAUAC